UGGACCACAAUCCUUCAUCUAUUUGCUGUGUGUUGUUUUAGAGCACGGGCCUUGAUUAUUAACAUCCUAGAUUAUCUAAAUUACUUAAUAGUUAGCAGCAUGUAAUAGCUUUUUAAAAAGAAAUGGGGGGCAGCUGUGCGUUGUUUUUUAAUUUGCAUUUAUCAAAACAGCCCCGGCAAAAUAGUCAGUAUUUGAAAAUCUAAACUUCAGGCAGUUUUCGUAACUGUCAAGGGGCCCACUUGAGAAGUCCUGAGCCAAUGGCAAGACUCGGGAUUCAAGCACAAAGGCCCCAAAUCUACUACCUGUUUUGCAGCUUAAUGAGCCACUCCACAGGCAAACAUUCAGGAAACAUGAGCAAGGAAUGGGAAAUCUGAGGAAAGAGCAGUUUAGGUAUCUUUCCAAGAUACUCUAUUCAAUUCCAAAAUGAAAUAAUGAAACGAAAAUAUUUGAGUAUACGUUAUUGAACCAAGGUUCAGACAGGAAGAAAUGCAAGUCAUUAAAUUCCUAUUUGUAAAGUAACAAGGAAACCGAAUGAUCACUAAGAUCCCUUUCAUCUGCAAAAUAUUCUGAUUGAAAUUAGAGGAAAAUUGCCUUUCUGUUUUCUUUUCUCUGAGAUCAGAGAAUCAAUGUUCAACAUACCCCACCCUGUUCUGAAAUCUCAAUCUUCCUUUUGUUACCGCAAAUUUAUUCAUUCAAUAAUCAAAGACCUGUUGAGUAAUGCUAUGUGCACUGGCUUAAAUAGCUUUGGGGCUGGGUUUGAAAUGGAAGGAAAGCUGACAUCCUUGCUUUAUACUCUCCCUUCAGCAGUCAGCCCUUUAAAAUCCCUGGAUGUGGAGCAGGCCAGAGGCCGAGUAGUUGGGUUCACACGCUCUGCUUUUGCUUCUGCUUCUGCGGCCCAGGGUUUCGCCGGUUCAAAUCCUGGGCGCAGACAUGGCACCACUCAUCAGGCCAUUCUCAGGCGGUGUCCCACAUAGCAGAACCAGGAGGACCUACAGGUGGUCAUAAGGGGACCGGCAAGGAGGUCAGCCUUGCAGACUCAGCUGAUCAACUGCAGGAGGCAUUGGCCUUCCGCUUCUCAAAUCUGACGUCUGAGACUCCAAAACUGAAGCCCCGCCUUUUCCCCGGUGUCACAGGCCUGCGUAUCAAUCUCUCUUCCUGAGAAAUGGCUAAGGAAAUAAAAUAGCACAGAAGCCUCUGUGUUCUCCUAGUUAGCUGGCCACUGCAGAAGGCCAGAGGCCAAGGGUUGCUGGUGGAAGUGCAUUUGUGCAGGACUCAUCGAUCAUCCUAGGAGCUCUCCGGAGUCAUCCCUGUGGGUGUCAGGGGAGUGGGAGAUUCUCACGAGACCUAUGCAUGGGGACAAGCGAGUUAGGGAUUGGUGGGCACCCUCAGGACACCCUGCUGCCCAACAUGUUACAUAUGCCCCACAGCAUGGAUUUCCCAUAUUCCA
rnacentral:lncRNA from 1 species